rnacentral:rRNA from 1 species
AUUGAACGCUGGCGGCAGGCCUAACACAUGCAAGUCGAACGAGUGGCGGACGGGUGAGUAAUGUCUGGGAAACUGCCUGAUGGAGGGGGAUAACUACUGGAAACGGUAGCUAAUACCGCAUACCAUCGGAUGUGCCCAGAUGGGAUUAGCUAGUAGGUGGGGUAAAGGCUCACCUAGGCGACGAUCCCUAGCUGGUCUGAGAGGAUGACCAGCCAGACUGUAACUGAGACACGGGCCAGACUCCUACGGGAGGCAGCAGGGGGGAAUAUUGAAUAAUGGGCGCAAGCCUGAGGCAGCCAUGCAGCGUGUAUGAAGAAGGCCUUUGGGUUGUAAAGUACUUUCAGUGGGGAGGCGUUACCCGCAGAAGAAGCACCGGCUAACUCCGUGCCAGCCGCCGCGGUAAUUC